UACGAGUGCCCCAAGCGUUAUCCGGAAUUAUUGGGCGUAAAGAGCUCGUAGGCGGUUUGUCGCGUCUGCCGUGAAAGUCCGGGGCUCAACUCCGGAUCUGCGGUGGGUACGGGCAGACUAGAGUGAUGUAGGGGAGACUGGAAUUCCUGGUGUAGCGGUGAAAUGCGCAGAUAUCAGGAGGAACACCGAUGGCGAAGGCAGGUCUCUGGGCAUUAACUGACGCUGAGGAGCGAAAGCAUGGGGAGCGAACAGG
rnacentral:rRNA from 1 species